CCAUUCUUUCACCGCACGACCAUUGACGCUGCAUGUCGCGACGGCGCCACCGAACGCAACGGUUGCAGCUCGCUCGAAUCGCAGCGUUCCGCCCGCAACGGCCCACUCGAUCAUCGCGGCCUUCGGAUCGUUGCCAAGCAAUGCGUUGAGCGCCAGGCCUGAGUCUCGAUCGGCAAUGCCGGACACCGGGACUCCUGAAUCCCGAAAGCCGUUGCGCCCCAAGUCCUGGAUCGUUGCAAACGGCGGCGCCGCAACCACGGUGAUCAUCAGUCGGCACUCACGAAACGAACAGUGUCGCCAGCGCGAAUGAGCGCCGGACGGUCACGACGAGCGUCGAACAUCACCAGUGACGUCGAGCCAAUGAGAUGCCAGCCGCCCGGCGUCUCCAGCGGGUACACCG
rnacentral:misc_RNA from 1 species